UGGAUGGAGCUAAAGAAAGACUUUAUUUGUUCAAAGCAGAUUUAUUAGAAGAAGGAUCUUUUGAUUAUGCUAUCAAUGGAUGUGAUGGUGUCUUUCACACAACAUCUCCUGUUCUUCAUUCCAUUGCUGACCCUCAGAACCAUGCGACCAGCUGAAGGUUUAUCAUGGCUAUCUGGCUAGUUCUUAUCAUACUGGGAUUCUUUCUAGAUUUGUGUCGAUUUCUUCUUACAUGGAAAGUGUGGCAUCUAGUAAGACAUCAGUAAGCACUGUACUUCCGAGAAGGCUUAAACAGGCUAGACUAUGAGAAAGUGGAGGCCUAGGACCCUCUUCCUAUUUCCUACAUGCGAUUCUCUCCUUUACCAAAUAAACACAACAAUUUCUAUAUUUUGUUCGGCAACCUAAUAAUUUGUAGUUUAAGUUCUCCUUUUACUACCACAAGAAGAAGAAAAAAUAUCAUGAAUUUUGUUAAUAUUUUAGAGACUCAAAUAAAAGGGAGAAGGAAACUUCAACCCAAAAAAGCAUUUAUUAAGACCUAUUUUUAUAAUUAUCACCAAUAAAUACUAAUUUUUUAAAAUUUUAAA